GCGCACGCUGGCGGCAGGCCUCACACAUGCCAGUCGCACGAACCUUUCGGGGUUAGUGGCGGACGGGUGAGUAACACGUGGGAACGUGCCUUUAGGUUCGGAAUAACUCAGGGAAACUUGUGCUAAUACCGAAUGUGCCCUUCGGGGGAAAGAUUUAUCGCCUUUAGAGCGGCCCGCGUCUGAUUAGCUAGUUGGUUGAGGUAAUGGCUCACCAAGGCGACGAUCAGUAGCUGGUCUGAGAGGAUGAUCAGCCACAUUGGGACUGAGACACGGCCCAAACUCCUACGGGAGGCAGCAGUGGGGAAUCUUGCGCAAUGGGCGAAAGCCUGACGCAGCCAUGCCGCGUGAAUGAUGAAGGUCUUAGGAUUGUAAAAUUCUUUCACCGGGGACGAUAAUGACGGUACCCGGAGAAGAAGCCCCGGCUAACUUCGUG
rnacentral:rRNA from 1 species